rnacentral:rRNA from 1 species
AGCGGCGAAAGGGAGAGUAACGCGUGGAUCAUCUACCCUCAGGACCGGGAUAGCCGGGGGAAACCCCGGGUAAUACCGGAUAAUGUCUCCGGACCAAAGGUGUGAGUCCGCCUGGGGAUGAGUCCGCGUCCUACUAGCUAGUUGGUGAGGUAAUGGCCCACCAAGGCUAAGAUGGGUACGGGGUGUGAGAGCACGACCCCGCUCACUGGGACUGAGACACUGCCCAGACACCUACGGGUGGCUGCAGUCGAGAAUCUUCGGCAAUGGGCGCAAGCCUGACCGAGCGACGCCGCGUGUGGGAUGAAGGCCUUCGGGUUGUAAACCACUGUCGGAGGGGAGGAAAUUCUCAGGGGUUCACCCCUGAGAUUGACCUAGCCUCAAAGGAAGGACGGGCUAAGUUCGUGCCAGCAGCCGCGGUAAGACGAACCGUCCGAACGUUAUUCGGAAUUACUGGGCUUAAAGGGUGCGUAGGCGGCUCUGAAAGUUGGGUGUGAAAUCCCUCGGCUCAACCGAGGAAUUGCGCCCAAAACUACAGAGCUUGAGGGAGACAGAGGUGAGCGGAACUUGCGGUGGAGCGGUGAAAUGCGUUGAUAUCGCAAGGAACACCAGGGGCGAAAGCGGCUCACUGGGUCUCUUCUGACGCUGAGGCACGAAAGCUAGGGGAGCGAACGGGAUUAGAUACCCCGGUAGUCCUAGCCGUAAACGCUGAGCACUAGA